rnacentral:rRNA from 1 species
UACGAAGGGGGCUAGCGUUGCUCGGAAUCACUGGACGUAAAGCGCACGUAGGCGGAUCUUUAAGUCAGGGGUGAAAUCCCGAGGCUCAACCUCGGAACUGCCCUUGAUACUGGGGAUCUCGAGUCCGGAAGAGGUUGGUGGAACUCCGAGUGUAGAGGUGAAAUUCGUAGAUAUUCGGAAGAACACCAGUGGCGAAGGCGGCCAACUGGUCCGGCACUGACGCUGAGGUGCGAAAGCGUGGGGAGCAAACAGG